rnacentral:rRNA from 1 species
AUGGCCACGGACGACGCGGGACGCUCGGAGUUGCCCACGGACGUCCUGGUGGAGAUCAUGCUGCUGCUGCCGCCGAUCUGCCGGCGCCGAGUCCGCCUCGUCAGCAGGCUCUGGCGCGACGUCAUCGACGAGCACACCAUGGAGAUGCAGAGCCGCGCCACGGCCCUCCUCUGGGAUACCCGGGAAGCGGUCGCCUACGUCGUCGGCGACCUGUCCAAGUCGUCGACGACGAGCUACAAAGAGCUGUGGCGUCGGGACAGAGCGGUACCAUACAUGCGCCCCAGUAGUAGCCUGCAGCUGAUCGGCACGUGCAAUGGUCUUCUCUGCUUGUGCGACAACAAGACGGCUCCCGGCGGCGCCGUCACCCUGGUCAACCCGGCCACCGACGAGGUGCUGCCCGUCCCGCCGCUGCCUUGCGCACUCUCGUUUUUCCCGCCUGCUGGGAGAUACGCCUCCUGGGAGAACUGGCACGAGGCGUACAGCUUCGGGUACCACCCUACGUCCGGGCAGUACAAGGUGGUGCACGUCCCAUGCAGCAUUAGCAAGGCAUACAAGUUCGACGACAUGCAGGUGCUCACUCUAGGGGAGGCGUCGUGGCGGAAGGUUCCGGCUGGCCCUGUGGAGGGAGCAAGGUGCAACCUCGGCGCUGGCAUGGUCAGCGUUGACGGCGCGACGUACUGGGUCAUAGAGAGUGCCAAAUCGAGCUGGGUCGUGUCAUUUGACCUCGAGAGCGAGGAGGUCACUCGUGUCAAGGGGCUGCCUGCCCAACCGGCCAGGCCUGAUCACUGCCACCUGACGGAGGUGAACGGGAGGCUGGGCAUUGUUGUCCGUAGCCUUUCGGGAACAAUAAAGGUGUGGGUUCUGGACAAGGGGCGGCGAAAGUGGAGCUAUCGGUACAACCUUACGCGGUAUCGUGUCCCGCGGCCACACUUCGUGUAUGGCGAGUGCAUUUUGACACUGCAGGAGUGCUCGAUAUGUGGGCACUACAGACGGAAAGGCAUGUGGUCAUCAUCCAACUACGCGGUGACGGUGCGGGUCAGACACCAUGCUCAUGGGACGCUGCUCGCGGCGAUAAUAGCCGGCUGGUGCCGGACAUUCUCCUACGUCAAGACGAUGGAGCCACUUAGCGUUUAUAAGUUGCCAAUAGUUAAUGCCUAA